rnacentral:rRNA from 1 species
AGAGUUUGAUCCUGGCUCAGGAUGAACGCUAGCGGUGCGCUUAACACAUGCAAGUCGUGCGAUCGAACCGGAUGGAUUUCCCUUCGGGGUCUGAAGACCGGUCACGGAGCGGCGAACUGGUGAGUAACACGUAGCUAACCUACCCUCUUGACAGGAAUAACCAUCCGAAAGGAUGGCUAAUGCCCGAUGUUGUGCGGAGUUGAUGACUUCGUUCCAAAGGCGGUCUUGCCGCCACAAGGGGAGGGGGCUGCGUCCUAUUAGCUAGUUGGUAGGGUAAUGGCCUACCAAGGCAAAAAUGGGUAGCUGGUCUGAGAGGACGAUCAGCCACAUUGGGACUGAGAUACGGCCCAGACUCCUACGGGAGGCAGCAGUGGGGAAUAUUGGACAAUGGACGAAAGUCUGAUCCAGCGACACCGCGUGGGGGAUGAAGGCUUUCGGGUCGUAAACCCCUUUUCUGGGGGAAGAAUAAGGUUGGGAGGAAAUGCCCAUCCGAUGACGGUACUCCAGGAAUAAGCAUCGGCAAACUUCGUGCCAGCAGCCGCGGUAAGACGAGGGAUGCAAGCGUUAUCCGGAAUUACUGGGCGUAAAGGGCGUCUAGGCGGUUGGAUAAGUCAUUUGUGAAAUCCCAGGGCUCAACCCUGGAAGGUCUCGUGAUACUGUCCGGCUUGGGUGUAGGAGAGGAGAGCGGAACUCACAGAGUAGCGGUGGAAUGCGUAGAUACUGUGAGGUACCCCGAUGGCGAAGGCAGCUCUCUGGCCUACUACCGACGCUGAAGCGCGAAAGCGUGGGGAGCAAAGGGGAUUAGAUACCCCCGUAGUCCACGCCCUAAACGAUGUUCACUUGGUGUCGGGAGCCUAUAUAUCUCGGUGCCGGAGCUAACGCGUUAAGUGAACCGCCUGAGGAGUACGGUCGCAAGGCUAAAACUCAAGAGAAUUGACGGGUCCCCGCACAAGCGGUGGAGCACGUGGUUUAAUUUCGAUGAUAAGCGAAGAACCUCACCUGGGCUUGACAUACUAGUGGUAGGAACCUGAAAGGGUAACGACCCUGCCUUCGGGUAGGGAGCUA